CUUUUAGCUGCAAUACCAAACGGCUUACAAAUGCGAAAGCAUCCAACUCUAUGUCGAAGCUUUGUAAUGGAAUUUCAACGAGCACUGGACGACACACCAUCUGAUUAUACACGGCAGCAAAAUUUUCUUACAGAUUUGCUUUCUAGGGUUUUGGAUCUCGAAAGGAAGAGACAUGGCCUCUUUUGGCUCUUUGAAACCUGCAAUUUUCGAAAGAGAAGAGAUAAAACAGAAAUAUCAAUCUCAUAUUCGAGGCCUCAACGUUUGCGAUCGCCACAAUAAAUUUUUGAACGAUUACGUUAGUUUUAUGGGAAAGGAAAAUCUACCAAUGAAAAGCUGCUGAUUGAAAUGGACAGAAACGCCCUAAGAGAAGGAUACCGGUAUGUUGAUUCUCUUAUGAUUUUUUUUUUUAUCUUGUUGCGUUUGCCUAGUUAUCAAUCAUUUCAAGGAGGUGAGCGCCAGUUAGGAAUUAUUUGGCACAAGCUGGUUGGCAUAUCUUUUAAUUUCUCAUGUAAUAACUGGCAAUCAGGUGUGUAAAUAAGGAGUCUGUGGCCCAAUUUAGUGUUAGAACAAGAAAGGGCAGGGAAAAAAACAUAGAUUCUUAUUCAACAAGAGGGCAUCCAGUGGCCAGUUAAGUGAUGGGGAUGAUAUGUUUCCAUCCAGCCACAUGCGUUUAAGUUUAAUUCACUGUUAGUUGUAUUUAUCCUGUGUUUCCUUUCAUGCUCAAUCAACACUGAAUCGUUUUCAAUCAUGAAUCCUAUUCCAUGACACUCUUGACGGUGGAAAUUUACUCCUAUAUGGCCAAUCUGUCCUCUUCUGUAAUGCUAGACUCUGCAAUUUUCAUCUGUCACCUCUCUUUGAUUUUUUAAGGCUCGUACGUUCAGAGGAAGAUGAUAUGGAUACAUCCUGGGAGCAAAGGCUAGUGAAGCGUUUUUAUGAUAAGCUUUUAAAGAGCAUCCUUUGUGAAUGGAUGUUGUUCAAUGGUCUGAACAGUAUUGUUACUCCUACAUCUGAAAUUCACUUCAAUAUACCGUGAACUUUAACUUUUUGAAGAUAAUGCAUAGCUGACAUGUCACUCUACAACAUUGGCAAGGUGUGUGGUUUCCCAUUGCAUAAAGCUGUUUAAUCUCAGCUGUAAUGACUUGAAAUGGUCACUCUGAUGAUCUUAAGAGUGUAUUUCUUUGUUUCCCCAGAAGAAUCAAAGUAAAGUAACCGCGAAAUAUGAGUUGUAGAUUGGGUUUUCCUCUUCUGAGAUUGCACAUUCUUUUCUUCUGUCUCAUUA